rnacentral:rRNA from 1 species
CACGUAGUUAGCCGGGGCUUCUUAUUUAGGUACCGUCAUUUCUUUCUUCCCUAUUGAUAGAAGUUUACAAUCCGAAAACCGUCUUCCUUCACGCGGCGUUGCUGCAUCAGGCUUUCGCCCAUUGUGCAAUAUUCCCCACUGCUGCCUCCCGUAGGAGUUUGGGCCGUGUCUCAGUCCCAAUGUGGCCGGUCACCCUCUCAGGUCGGCUACUGAUCGUUGCCUUGGUGGGCUAUUAUCUCACCAACUAGCUAAUCAGAUGCGGGCCCAUCUUUUACCGAAUUACUCCUUUCUUUCUUAGAAGAUGCCUUCCAAGAACCGUAUGCGGUAUUAGUCGUCGUUUCCAACGAUUAUUCCACAGUAAAAGGUAAGUUGCCCACACGUUACUCACCCGUCCGCCGCUAAAAUAAUCAAAAGCAAGCUCUCAAUUAUUUUCGCUCGACUUGCAUGUGUUAAGCACGCCGCCAGCGUUCAUCCUGAGCCAGGAUCAAACUCU